rnacentral:rRNA from 1 species
AGAGUUUGAUCCUGGCUCAGGACGAACGCUGGCGGCGUGCUUAACACAUGCAAGUCGAGCGACGCACCACCUUCGGGUGGUGACGGAGCGGCGAACGGGUGAGUAACACGUGGGCAACCUGCCCCUAGCUCUGGGACAACUCCGGGAAACCGGGGCUAAUACCGGAUACGAUCUUCCAUGGCAUCACGGAAGAUGGAAAGUUUUUCGGCUAGGGAUGGGCCCGCGGCCUAUCAGCUUGUUGGUGAGGUAAUGGCCCACCAAGGCGACGACGGGUAGCCGGCCUGAGAGGGCAACCGGCCACACUGGGACUGAGACACUGCCCAGACUCCUACGGGAGGCUGCAGUCGAGAAUCUUGGUCAAUGCACGAAAGUGUGAACCAGCGACGCCGCGUGGAGGAUGAAGGCCCUUGGGUCGUAAACUCCUUUUAUGGGGGAGGAAAAAAAUGACGUUACCCCAUGAAUAAGCCACGGCUAACUACGUGCCAGCAGCCGCGGUAAUACGUAGGUGGCAAGCGUUGUCCGGAUUUACUGGGCGUAAAGCGUGCGCAGGCGGACUUUUAAGUAGGAAGUGAAAGGUUGGAGCUUAACUCCAACACUGCUCCCUAUACUGGAAGUCUUGAGUAGCGGAGAGGAAGAUGGAACGACAUGUGUAGCGGUGAAAUGCGUUGAUAUGUGUCGGAACACCAAUGGCGAAGGCAGUCUUCUGGACGCAAACUGACGCUCAUGCACGAAAGCUAAGGUAGCAAACAGGAUUAGAUACCCUGGUAGUCUUAGCUGUAAACGAUGUUCACUAGGUGUCGGGGUCUCCUCGGUGCCGCAGCUAACGCAUUAAGU